rnacentral:misc_RNA from 1 species
UUUUUUUGUUUUUUAUUUCAUUACAUACUUUGACUAAUGUUUAAAAUGAAGCCGCAAGGUAGUUUCACUCGAAAGUUCCAUUACCUCGCCAUCAAGUGCACAGUGUUAGAAGUGGAGGUCAGGCUCUACAAGUAGACGCCCUAUAAUUCACUAAUGAUCCUUCCGCAGGUUCACCUACGGAAA